rnacentral:rRNA from 1 species
UGAGCAAUCUGCCCUUCUCAUCGGAAUAAGCGUUGGAAACGACGUCUAAUGCCGAAUACGACCUCCUUUCGCAUGAUCGGAGGUGGAGAGCUCCGGCGGAGAAGGAUGAGCUCGCGGCCUAUCAGCUAGUUGGUGUGGGUAAUGGCCCACAAGGCGACGACGGGUAGCCGGCCUGGGAGGGUGACCGGCCACACUGGGACUGAGACACGGUCCAGACCUCCUACGGGAGCAG